rnacentral:misc_RNA from 1 species
GUUACUCUAUAUAGUCCUGGAAUGCUGAGUUGCUGACUAAAGAAAAGAUUUACAUUGCUGGUUUUUAUGAGAUGAUUUUUUAUCUGCUUUCAGUUCUUCUUGUGUACUUCACUUAAGCUUGCAAGGAUUUGUAAACAAUGCAUUGUGGGUACCACUUGCAGCAUACCAAGUAAAUACUAAUAUUGGCAGUUAUUUUGGAUGUGUAGC